GACGAACGCUGGCGGCGUGCUUAACACAUGCAAGUCGAACGGAAGGCCCUGCUUUUGUGGGGUGCUCGAGUGGCGAACGGGUGAGUAACACGUGAGUAACCUGCCCUUGACUUUGGGAUAACUUCAGUAAACUGGGGCUAAUACCGGCUAGGAGCUCCUGCUGCAUGGUGGGGGUUGGAAAGUUUCGGCGGUUGGGGAUGGACUCGCGGCUUAUCAGCUUGUUGGUGGGGUAGUGGCUUACCAAGGCUUUGACGGGUAGCCGGCCUGAGAGGGUGACCGGCCACAUUGGGACUGAGAUACGGCCCAGACUCCUACGGGAGGCAGCAGUGGGGAAUAUUGCACAAUGGGCGGAAGCCUGAUGCAGCAACGCCGCGUGCGGGAUGACGGCCUUCGGGUUGUAAACCGCUUUCGCCUGUGACGAAGCGUGAGUGACGGUAAUGGGUAAAGAAGCACCGGCUAACUACGUG
rnacentral:rRNA from 1 species